UUUUGUUGUUCUUUUGUUUUUUGUGUGUUUUUGUUUUUGUUUUCCGUCAGAGCCGGACUGUAAUUAGCAUCUUAUUUGUUCAGGCUCGGAACAGUCUUUGUCAGGACCACUGUGCGGGCUACCGAGGUCAGGCUUCCUGCACUGCUCUCUGCGUUGCGACGGGGCAAUAGUGCGGGUUCUAAACUUUUGAUUCAUUCUGCCUUCUUAAUGCAUUUAUUCCUUGUCAAGUUUCCCCUCCUCGUAGCAAGUUUGGACGUCUGAAGAAGUAUCUGAUAGGUUUCAGAAGCAGGCUGCAACUGGUCAUUCGCCUUCUAGUUUUGUCUCUACUUGUAGACGCGGCUGGUGGUUUGCAAAACAAGUGUUUGGAUAGUGUGGUGAUGUGGUGGGAGGAGACAUGAUGGGCUAUGCUUUUGAGCAGCGAGCCUUCCUAAGGGGGGUCACAAUCAAGAAUAACAAGUGGAACUAUGUGAGAAAAAGCUGGCCUCCGGGCCCCGACAGCACCAUCCAAGCCAGCCCAAGAAGACCUCAUUUUGUUUCCUGCCUGCGUGGAGUUCGGUGGGAAAGCUUUGCUGUCGUUGACUCAACAAUAAAAAGGAAGACAGUGUGCACCCUGGGCUCUGUGUCCUGAGAUGAUAAUUACCAGAUUAUCAUUACUUAGUUCACAUGUGUCCCUAUGUUUAUUUUUCUAUAUAUUUCACAUUACAUAUAUACAUCUAUUCAUGCAUACGUUUUAUAUGCAUAUGUUAUUCCCUAGUCUAUCUGUACAAAUAUGUAUAUUUGGUAUGUACACAUGCGUCUCACUUUGGCAUGUUUGGAAGGGUACAUUAUGUGUAAUUUACACAAAACUAUCAAAUUAAUAGUAAAACUAGAUUAUAUCCUUAUCCUUGUUGAUCUUCACAAGGCAUGCUGAGAAAUCAGUGUGAACUUGUCCAAAUCUAGACUGGUAUAUGGCAUUACCAUCAUUCAAAGUGGCCAAGGUAUCUAAAGUUGAACGUCUUCACAAUUGUGCCUUCUAUUAUUGAUCAGUAUUAUUAAUCACUCCAGGGAAAUAAUGUUUCUAUGAAUAGUACUUUUAAACUUCCUUUUCUUAGCUAACUUUCAACUUUCUGCAUUUGACAAUACCCCAUCUUCCUGGAUUAUUGCUUAUGAUUCAGUGUCAUCU